CCUUAUAGGUUCCGGUUAAGAACCGGAACCGGAACCGUACGGACGGUUCCGGUUCGGUUCCGGUUAGCACAGUGACGGUUCCGGUUACGGUUCCGGUUUGAACCGGAACCGUGGUCACCCCUAGUUUAUGUAUGAAUU